rnacentral:rRNA from 1 species
UGGGGAAUCUUAGACAAUGGGGGCAACCCUGAUCUAGCCAUGCCGCGUGAGUGAUGAAGGCCUUAGGGUUGUAAAGCUCUUUCAGCUGGGAAGAUAAUGACGGUACCAGCAGAAGAAGCCCCGGCUAACUCCGGGCCAGCAGCCGCGGUAAUACGGAGGGGGCUAGCGUUGUUCGGAAUUACUGGGCGUAAAGCGCACGUAGGCGGACUGGAAAGUUGGGGGUGAAAUCCCGGGGCUCAACCUCGGAACUGCCUUCAAAACUAUCAGUCUGGAGUUCGAGAGAGGUGAGUGGAAUUCCGAGUGUAGAGGUGAAAUUCGUAGAUAUUCGGAGGAACACCAGUGGCGAAGGCGGCUCACUGGCUCGAUACUGACGCUGAGGUGCGAAAGCGUGGGGAGCAAACA